rnacentral:rRNA from 1 species
GGAGAGUACGAGCAAUAGCUUAAAAACUAAAGAAUAUGGCGGUGUUUUAUUCGAUCAGGGUGACAUGUAUCUUAAUUUGAUAGUCCACGGUUUUUAAGCCUGGCUUUGAAAUUCAGCAUGUGUACUGCCGUUUUACAUAGUUUUAAAAAAUUGUGUAUGAUAUAUGAAUUUUCAUAUAGUUAGUCAGGUCAAAGCGCAGUCUAUAGUCAGGUGAGAUUGUGUUACAUUUAUUUAAACAUUCAAUUUAUUGAUUUAAAUUUUAAUAAGAAGAAGAACUUGAUAGUA